AGUAUCACUUCUUCUAUCUCUUUCGUGUCACUUGGACUUUGGACCUCUAGACUCUAAACUUGUUACACAACAUCGAUGCCACAUAAAGAAUUCAGGUGAAACGAAUUAGUCCUCACACGCCCAUCAAAAUGCUUAAAACUCUAUAUUCCAGUCACUUAAAUUCAACACUGUUAAACAAUUCCAAAACAUCCGAAAAGAGUGGCUCCUAAUUUCUCGGCUUGUAGUCAACACAUGGGGACUCUAUACUCCAAAACAAAGCAAACAACAAAAAAACUCAGAAAUUACCACAGGCUGCCACAUCUUACUAAG